rfam:Triticum aestivum genome assembly, contig: Triticum_aestivum_CS42_TGACv1_scaffold_604300_7DL
UAGGUACUCCCUCCGUCCCAAAAUUCUUGUCUUAGAUUUGUGUAGAUACGGAUGAAUCUAAUACUAAAACGUGACUUGAUACAUCCGUAUGUAGACAAAUCCAAGACAAGAAUUUUGGGACGGAGGGAGUAUAAA